CGUGUAGGCGGGAAGGAAAGUCAGAUGUGAAAUCCCCAGGCUCAACCUGGGAACUGCAUUUGAAACUCCCUUUCUUGAGUACCGGAGAGGAAAGUGGAAUUCCUGGUGUAGAGGUGAAAUUCGUAGAUAUCAGGAGGAACACCAGUGGCGAAGGCGGCUUUCUGGACGGUAACUGACGCUGAGACGCGAAAGCGUGGGGAGCAAACAGGAUUAGAUACCCUGGUAGUCCACGCUGUAAACGAUGAGUGCUAGGUGUCGUGGGUAUUGACCCCCGCGGUGCCGUAGCUAACGCAUUAAGCACUCCGCCUGGGAAGUACGGUCGCAAGACUAAA
rnacentral:rRNA from 1 species